UACGUAGGGUGCAAGCGUUUGUCCGGAAUUAUUGGGCGUAAAGAGCUCGUAGGCGGUCUGUCGCGUCUGCUGUGAAAACCUAGGGCUUAACUCUGGGCGUGCAGUGGGUACGGGCAGGCUAGAGUGCGGUAGGGGAGACUGGAAUUCCUGGUGUAGCGGUGAAAUGCGCAGAUAUCAGGAGGAACACCGGUGGCGAAGGCGGGUCUCUGGGCCGUAACUGACGCUGAGGAGCGAAAAGCAUGGGGAGCGAACAGG
rnacentral:rRNA from 1 species